rnacentral:rRNA from 1 species
GACGAACGCUGGCGGCGUGCUUAACACAUGCAAGUCGAACGAUGAACUUGGAGCUUGCUCUGGGGGAUUAGUGGCGAACGGGUGAGUAACACGUGAGUAACCUGCCCUGGACUCUGGGAUAACUUCGAGAAAUCGGAGCUAAUACCGGAUAGGACCUUGCACCGCAUGGUGUGGGGUGGAAAGUUUUUCGGUUUGGGAUGAGCUCGCGGCCUAUCAGCUAGUUGGUGAGGUAACGGCCCACCAAGGCGACGACGGGUAGCCGGCCUGAGAGGGUGACCGGCCACACUGGGACUGAGACACGGCCCAGACUCCUACGGGAGGCAGCAGUGGGGAAUAUUGCGCAAUGGGCGCAAGCCUGAUGCAGCAACGCCGCGUGAGGGACGACGGCCUUCGGGUUGUAAACCUCUUUUAGUAGGGAAGAAGCGAAAGUGACGGUACCUGCAGAAAAAGCACCGGCUAACUACGUGCCAGCCGCCGCGGUAAUAC